rnacentral:rRNA from 1 species
UACGGAAGGCAGCAGUGGGGAAUAUUGCACAAUGGGCGAAAGCCUGAUGCAGCUAUGCCGCGUGUAUGAAGAAGGCCUUAGGGUUGUAAAGUACUUUCAUCGGGGAGGAAAAAACAAAACUAAUAAUUUUAUUUCUUGACGUUACCCGAAAAAGAAGCACCGGCUAACUCUGUGCCAGCAGCCGCGGUAAUACAGAGGGUGCGAGCGUUAAUCGGAAUUACUGGGCGUAAAGCGAGUGUAGGUGGCUCAUUAAGUCACAUGUGAAAUCCCCCGGGGCUUAACCUGGGAACUGCAUGUGAUACUGGUGGUGCUAGAAUAUGUGAGAGGGAAGUAGAAUUCCAGGUGUAGCGGUGAAAUGCGUAGAGAUCUGGAGGAAUACCGAUGGCGAAGGCAGCUUCCUGGGCAUAUAUUGACACUGAGAUUCGAAAGCGUGGGUAGCAAACAGGAUUAGGAAUACC